GGGGGCCUGGGAUGCUGCCACUGAGCUGACCUGCUGGACUUGGGUUGUGGCAGACGGAUGGCGAACGUGCAGGUCGCCGUGCGGGUCCGGCCGCUCAGCAAGAGGGAGACCAAAGAAGGGGGAAGAAUUAUUGUGGAAGUUGAUGGCAAAGUGGCAAAAAUCAGGAAUUUAAAGGUGGACAAUCGAACAGAUGGCUUUGGGGACUCCCGGGAGAAGGUUAUGGCAUUUGGCUUUGAUUACUGCUACUGGUCAGUCAACCCAGAGGAUCCCCAGUAUGCAUCUCAAGAUGUGGUUUUCCAGGAUUUAGGGAUGGAAGUACUGUCUGCAGUUGCCAAAGGCUAUAACAUAUGCCUUUUUGCUUAUGGACAGACAGGCUCUGGGAAGACAUAUACCAUGCUGGGGACCCCAGCCUCUGUUGGGUUGACACCACGGAUAUGUGAGGGUCUCUUCGUCAGGGAGAAAGACUGUGCCUCACUGCCUUCCUCCUGUAGGAUAAAAGUAAGUUUUCUAGAAAUCUAUAAUGAACGGGUGCGGGAUCUGUUGAAGCAAUCUGGUCAAAAAAAGUCCUAUACCCUGCGGGUCAGGGAGCAUCCAGAGAUGGGGCCCUAUGUACAAGGUUUAUCUCAACAUGUAGUUACCAAUUAUAAGCAAGUAAUCCAACUCUUGGAGGAGGGAAUUGCAAACAGAAUCACAGCAGCCACCCAUGUUCAUGAGGCCAGCAGCAGAUCCCACGCCAUUUUCACGAUCCACUACACGCAGGCAAUCCUGGAGAACAGCCUCCCUUCUGAAAUGGCUAGCAAGAUCAACCUUGUGGACCUAGCAGGCAGUGAAAGAGCAGAUCCCAGUUACUGUAAGGACCGCAUUACUGAAGGAGCCAAUAUCAACAAGUCCCUUGUGACUCUGGGAAUUGUCAUCUCCACCUUAGGUAUUUUGCUGAUAGAUAAUGGGAGUGGGAGGGAGACUUUGGAAAAUAACUCAUGUUUUCAUUUUGUCACAAUAGGGUAGACACAGGGUUCCUUUUGAUAAGGUUACCUUCUGGUUUGGGGCAUGAAAAAUUGAUAUUUGUCCUUGGUUUUAGAGUAGAAUGCUAUCCUACUACUAUAAUUUCUAAAAGAGGGGAGUCUAAAAAAUUAUGUGGCUCAAACAUUCCAUAUCAUGAGUCUAAAGUCUUUAGGAACACCUAAAAUACCUUAUUGUAUGCAGAAAGGGAUUAGGAAAUAUGAUACUUAAGUCUGUGUUCUCCAACCAUUGUUUUGUUUUAAUAUAUUUGCUUUAUAAUUCCUUCUUCCAUUUUCUUUUUUCAUCUUUUAAGCCCAGAACUCCCAAGUUUUCAGCAGCUGCCAGAGCCUCAACAGCUCAGUCAGCAAUGGUGGUGACAGUGGGAUCCUUAGCUCUCCUUCUGGGACCAGCAGUGGAGGGGCACCCUCCCGAAGGCAGUCUUAUAUCCCAUACCGAGACUCUGUGUUGACCUGGCUGCUGAAGGACAGCCUUGGAGGCAACUCUAAAACCAUCAUGGUUGCCAGUGAGUGGGAUGCCAGAGCUGGAUCUGUGUUGGGACUGUACUCUAUCUCAGAGAAAGGGCCAUGGCCCCAGUGAGUGGGGUGCCAGAGCUGGAUCUGUGUUGGGACUGGUACUCUAUCUCAGAGAAAGGGCCAUGACCACCAAGGUUUCUCAUUUCAUCAGGGGUCUCAUACAGCAUGGGCAGUAGUAGCAAGGCAAGUGAUUAAGGGCUGGGAUGGAUGGGCUGGCAUGUUUUUAAACUUUCUCCUUCUACCUCAGCGGUGUCUCCUGCACACACUAGCUACAGUGAGACCAUGAGCACACUGAGAUAUGCAUCCAGUGCCAAAAACAUUAUCAACAAGCCACGAGUAAAUGAGGAUGCAAACGUAAAGCUGAUAAGAGAACUCAGAGAAGAGAUUGAAAGACUGAAAGCCCUGCUGCUGAGCUUUGAACUGAGAAACUUCGGUUCAAUGAAUGAUGAAAAGGAUGAAAACCUGAAGGAGCUGGUUCUCCUAAAUGAAUUGAAGAUAGACCAGCUGACUAAAGACUGGACACAGAAGUGGAAUGAUUGGCAGGCCCUCAUGGAGCAUUACAGUGUGGACGUCAACAGGAGGAGGGCUGGGGUGGUCAUCGACUCCAGCCUGCCACACUUGAUGGCCUUGGAGGAUGACGUGCUCAGCACAGGUGUUGUGCUCUAUCAUCUCAAGGUGAGGAGGCUGGUGUAUCCUUUUUUUCCUAAGCCACUGGCCCCAGAGGCCAAGGAAGGAAAAGCUAGGAGCAGCAGCCAUGUUUCUGUGAAUUGAAAUCAAGACAGAUGCUACAGAGCUGCCUUCAGGUUUGCUCUCAGGAAACGUCUACCUGACAAAUUGUGAUCUGUUUUGCCUUUGUAUGUAUAGAGCAGAAGACUGGAAAUCAGAACAAUUGUUUUUCAACUGCUGCUACUAUUGUUCUUAUGUAACUUACUUUUGUUCUCUUUGCCUUAAUUUCCUCAUUUUAAAGUAAGAAUGAUGCUUAUCAUAUUCGUUUUCUGGCUUACUGAAGCAUAGGGGUACAGUCAUGGAGAGUGAAACCCUAACCUCAAGAUAACCAUUAGUGCUCCUAAACUCUACAAAUACAGACUGCUCAAAGGUGGCUUUCAGGCUGGGUGUGGUGGCUCACACCUGUAAUCCCAGCACUUUGGGAGGCUGAGGCGGGCAGAUCACUUGAGGUCAGGAGUUCGAGACCAUCCUGGCCAACAUGGCGAAACCCCACCUCUACUAAAAAUACAAAAAUUAGCCGGGCGUGAUGGUGGGCGCCUGUAAUCCCAGCUACUCGGGAGGCUGAGGCAGGAGAAUCACUUGAACCUGGGAGGUGGAGGUUGCAGUGAGCCGAGAUCAUGCCACUGCACUCCAGUCUGGGUGACAAAGUAAGACUGUGUCUCAAAAAUAAAUAAAUAAAAUAAAUAAAAAUAAUGUUAAAAAAAAGGUGGUUUUCAGAGACUAAAGGGGGAAUUCAGAAGAUUUGAAAGUUUUCUUCUGACAAUUCCCCACUUCAUUCGACCCCAAAUAAACAGUACACUUCCCACUUCUCCAUCACUACAUUUACCUGGAAAAGGAGACAGAGAAAGUAGGUAAAGGAAGCUUAAAAUAUACGGAGGGUCCAAAGAGCUAGAGUGGUGUGAUGGUGGGGGAAGUGGGAAUGACAGGCAUCCAUCUAGAAAAAGAUUAAAGUUAAAGCUGCCAAACAGCACCUGGCCCACCUUGCUCUGUGUCACCUGGAGGCCAGUCCUUGUUUCUGAUUGAAGUGGUUUUUGAGAGUUCGUGACCUAUUGUAGAUAGAGUCUUUUAUCUUCUUCUCAUCAAUGUGUUCUACUGUGGGAGGACAGUUCCUAUGGACAGCAGAAUGUACUUCCCAUGCUCAAAAUCCCUGUGCUCACUGAAAAUCUAGUUUUCAUUCUCAUAAUUAUCCCCAGCUGACGUUUAAAAAGAACAAAGAGUUUCUGGGGAGUAUGUAAUGCUGUUGUUAUCCCUGGAGAAAUUGGACUCCUUCCUAGUGCUGCAGAGCAUAUGGAAGUGAGAUGUUAGCAAAGCUCAUCGGUGUUCUUAGGAUAAGCCCUUUGGGAAGUUGUCAGAGACUGAGCUGCUCAGACAGAAAAUUUAAAGUAGUUUAUUUUCUGGUAUACGGGGUAUAAAUUUUCUUACUGAAAGUGCCUGAGGCAGAAGUGGCUGGCAACUUUUACCUUAGCAAGAAAACUAAACACCAAAUGGCUGUAUAGAUCCUCCCAUUAGUCAGAAGCACAGAGAGAGGUUGGAGUUCAGGAAGAGACCAAAUUGAUUAAAAUGGUCACUAUUUGAGUAGAACUGAUCUGAUACAUGGAUUGGAUGUAGAGUGAAUAGAUGAAGCUAGAAAUCAAGUAGUAGAGCUUAGGGUCGCAGCAGAGGGUUAAAGGACAUAACUAUUAGAUUGAAUCGUAGACAUGGAGAUGAAUGAUGAAGUCAUCUGAAGAUAGGGUUGCUGAAUUUUUUUUUUUUUUUUUUUUAUGAGACGGAGUCUCGCUGUGUCACCCAGGCUGGAGUGCAGUGGCACAAUCUGCGCUCACUGCAACCUCAGCCUCCUGGGCUCAAGUGAUUCUCCUGCCUAAGCCUCCUUGCGUAGCUGGGAUUACAGGCGUGCACCACUGUUGGGAAUAAUGCUUAAAAUUUUAAGGAAAUUGAACACUUUACACUUAAAGGAUUUUUAGUAAAGCAAUUUUACUUUUGUGCAGAGGGGUGCUUCUCCUUGGCCAGUUGCCAUGAGAACACAUCUGAACAAAGGGGCAUGAGAGCCUUUAUUUCUGACACAAGUCCUGCUCCUGUACCCUUUCUCCUUCCCCAUUGGCCAGGGUUGGGUCGUACAUUCUAAACUAAUCCUGGUUGGCUAAACAUUUGAACCUUUUUAGAUAAGGUGGGCACAUAAGGGAGAGAGGGGGAAGGGGUGUCUGCAAUGAGUUAGAGAGCUAGUUUUUUUUUAAAAUAAGGAAAGGAAUGUGAGCUGGUACUGAUAACACCUGGUACUGUGGCAUGUCUGGGCAUUUAAUAAAGGCAGAAAGGAAGAAAAAAGAGAAAAAGGAAAAAAAGGGGUGGGGGGUUACUAUGAAUUGAAGAAUAAAGGAUUGAUCAGGCUAUUUGAAGAGAAACUUCAUCAUAUCCCACAACCACCAUGCCCGGCUAAUUUUUGUGUUUUUGGUAGAGACGGGGAUUCACCAUGUUGGCCAGGCUGGUCUUGAACUCCUAACCUCAAGUAAUCCACCUACCUUGGUCUCCUAAAGUUCUGGGACUACAGGCAUGAGCCCUCACGCCCCACUGGAUUGCUGAUUUUCAUUGCUUAGUCAGUGCAUAGUGAGGAUUUUACUUCCUUCCUGGUGCAUUUCCAGUGGAUCUGGGUGAUGAGAUUUUAGUCUACUUCUAAUCCUGGCAUUUCUGCAUUUUGUGUACUUUCCCCACCUUUUGUUUGUUUAGCUAUUGACUUAGGUAAUAGUACUAACAGUAAUGGCCCAAGAUUCUGUUUGUUGUUGUUGUUUGUUUGUUUGUUUUUUGCUAAGUUGGUUACAGACCUAGAACUAGUCCCUGGCAACCCGGAAGCUGUCUUUCCCUGGGUCACCUUGGGGAAGUGUCUUGGGUGGGAAGAGGACAGAGGGAAGGACAGGGAGAGCCCAGGUUACUGAUAUGCUGGACUUCAUCCUCAUAAUUGCCUUUGUGCCACUAACUCUCCCUACAUAAAGAGGCAGGGUGGGCAGUGAACACAUAUGCCAGCCAGCUCAGUCCUCAUCUGAGAUGCCAUUACCUUUUGUUGGUAAUUUCUACCCUGCAAAUCUAGAAGUUAUGAUGUGCCGUAGCCUUUAUCUUUUUGGAAGGGCUGUCCCUGAACGCGCAUGAAAAGUUUCCACCUUUUUCCCUUGAACUGCCCUCUGAUUCUGUUUGACAGUGUUUGUGGAGGCUAGCAUCUGUUGACUUCUGUGGUCCUCAGUGCCUGAGCAGGAAAGGCUGGCUCUGGCUGUUUGUGUGUUUGCAGAGAGGAGGGACAGAGGGGGAUGCAGUGAGGACAGAGCCUCAUUCAUUAUAGCUAGGAUUCUUCCUUCUCGCAAGCUAUUUUGGAGGAGUGUCAGGGACCUCCCUGCUCUGGCUGCUGACAGUGAAGCCUAGUGGGGAAUUCUCUGGUCUCCUUAAAAACAGUACUAGGCCAGACGUGGUGGCUCAUGCCUAUAAUCCCAGCACUUUAGGAGGCUGAGGCAGGCAGAUCACCUGAGGUCAGGAGUUCGAGACAACCCUGGACAACAUGGCGAAACCCUGUCUCUACUAAAAAUACAAAAAUUAGCCGGGCAUGGUGGCACGCACCUGUAUUCCCAGCUACUCGGGAGGCUGAGGCAGGAGAAUCGCUUGAACCUGGGAGGCAGAGGUUGCAGUGAGCCGAGAUGGUGCCACUGCACUCCAGCCUGGGUAACAGAGUGAGACUCCAUCUCAAAAAAAAAAAAAAA
rnacentral:sRNA from 1 species